AGCGAACGCUGGCGGAAUGCUUAACACAUGCAAGUCGCACGCCCUGCAAGGGGAGUGGCGGACGGGUGAGUAACGCGUAGGAAUAUGUCCAGAGGUGGGGGACAACCCUGGGAAACUGGGGCUAAUACCGCAUAUGGGCUGAGGCCCAAAGCAGUGAUGCGCCUUUGGAGUAGCCUGCGUCCGAUUAGCUUGUUGGUGGGGUAAAGGCUUACCAAGGCGACGAUCGGUAGCUGGUCUGAGAGGACGACCAGCCACACUGGGACUGAGACACGGCCCAGACUCCUACGGGAGGCAGCAGUGGGGAAUAUUGGACAAUGGGCGCAAGCCUGAUCCAGCAAUUCCGCGUGGGUGAAGAAGGUCUUCGGAUUGUAAAGCCCUUUCGACGGGGACGAUGAUGACGGUACCCGUAGAAGAAGCCCCGGCUAACUUCGUGCCAGCCGCCGCCGUAA
rnacentral:rRNA from 1 species